rnacentral:rRNA from 1 species
GACGAACGCUGGCGGCGUGCUUAACACAUGCAAGUCGAACGGAAAGGCCCUGCUUUUGUGGGGUGCUCGAGUGGCGAACGGGUGAGUAACACGUGAGUAACCUGCCCUUGACUUUGGGAUAACUUCAGGAAACUGGGGCUAAUACCGGAUAGGAGCUCCUGCUGCAUGGUGGGGGUUGGAAAGUUUCGGCGGUUGGGGAUGGACUCGCGGCUUAUCAGCUUGUUGGUGGGGUAGUGGCUUACCAAGGCUUUGACGGGUAGCCGGCCUGAGAGGGUGACCGGCCACAUUGGGACUGAGAUACGGCCCAGACUCCUACGGGAGGCAGCAGUGGGGAAUAUUGCACAAUGAGCGGAGGCCUGAUGCAGCAACGCCGCGUGCGGGAUGACGGCCUUCGGGUUGUAAACCGCUUUCGCCUGUGACGAAGCGUGAGUGACGGUAAUGGGUAAAGAAGCACCGGCUAACUACGUG